rnacentral:rRNA from 1 species
AUUGAACGCCGGCGGCAUGCCUUACACAUGCAAGUCGAACGGCAGCGGGGGAGAAGCUUGCUUUUCCUGCCGGCGAGUGGCGAACGGGUGAGUAAUACAUCGGAACGUGCCCUGUAGUGGGGGAUAACUAGUCGAAAGAUUAGCUAAUACCGCAUACGACCUGAGGGUGAAAGUGGGGGACCGCAAGGCCUCAUGCUAUAGGAGCGGCCGAUGUCUGAUUAGCUAGUUGGUGGGGUAAAGGCGUACCAAGGCGACGAUCAGUAGCUGGUCUGAGAGGACGAUCAGCCACACUGGGACUGAGACACGGCCCAGACUCCUACGGGAGGCAGCAGUGGGGAAUUUUGGACAAUGGGCGAAAGCCUGAUCCAGCAAUGCCGCGUGUGUGAAGAAGGCCUUCGGGUUGUAAAGCACUUUUGUCCGGAAAGAAAUGGCUCUGGUUAAUACCUGGGGUCGAUGACGGUACCGGAAGAAUAAGGACCGGCUAACUACGUGCCAGCAGCCGCGGUAAAAC